rnacentral:misc_RNA from 1 species
CGAAAUUUUGAUCAAGCUGUUCAAUUCUGGAAGGAGCAAUUAAGGCGGGGAUGCCCUCCAUAUCUUAUAACCUACACAGUUCUCAUUGAGUUAGUCUGCAAGCAUUGUGGAACUGUUAGGGCCAUGGAAGUAUUGGAGGAUAUGGCAAUCGAGGGAUGUUAUCCUGAUCUAGUUACCUACAAUUCGUUGGUCAAUUUUUCUUGUAAACAGGG